ACCAAUUGAACCACUGAUCACCCCUUAGUCUAAACCACCCCCCUCCCUUCUCCUCUCCCACCUCAUCUGUUCUUCUUCCAAGCCCUCCCCCACCAUGACUAUUUAUUCAAGAAUUUAUUUUGUAACUCCAAACAAAACAACAAUAACCCAUUUCUUUUUGUUCAGUUUUCUAGUUUUUUAUUUUUUUAUUUUUGAUUUAGUUACUUUUUUAGCUAUUGAAAUACAUAACUCAUCUGAGACAAAAAGAAAUUGCGUGUAAGCCAGAUUUUUUCGUGGGAACAAUAUCGUGGGAACAAAAAUGGAAUUAGUGCGCACAAAAAGAAAUUGCGUGGGAACAAUAUCGCAAUGGAAUUUGUGCGCACAAAUUUUGGAGAUUACUAUCUUAGAUAAGGGAGAGAUAUAAUUUGGAAGAAACUUAUUAAUUGUUCUUGUUUUCAUCAAUGGUGAAACUUGAAGAAGAAAGAAGUAUGAAGAUGAAGGCAAGUGGGUUAUUAAAAUAAAGUUAAUUUAAAAAAAAAUAUAUAUAUAUAUAUAUAUAUAUAUAU
rnacentral:lncRNA from 1 species